rnacentral:rRNA from 1 species
CCUACGGGAGGCAGCAGUGGGGGAUAUUGCACAAUGGGGGAAACCCUGAUGCCGCGACGCCGCGUGUGGGAAGACGGUCCUCUGGAUUGUAAACCACUGUCCCCAGGGACGAAGAUGACGGUACCUGGGGAGGAAGCUCCGGCUACCUACGUGACAGCAGCCGCGGUAAUACGUAGGGAGCGAGCGUUGUCCGGAAUUACUGGGUGUAAAUGGAGGGUAGGCGGGGAUGCAAGUGGGGUGUCAAAACUACCGGCUCAACUGGUAGUCGCACUCAAAACUGCAGCUCUUGAGUGAAGUAGAGGCAGGCGGAAUUCCUAGUGGUGCGGUGAAAUGCGUAGAUAUUAGGAGGAACACCAGUGGCGAAGGCGGCCUGCUGGGCUUUUACUGACGCUGAGGCUCGAAAGUGUGGGGAGCAAACAGGAUUAGAUACCCCUGUAGUC